rnacentral:rRNA from 1 species
UACGGGGGGGGCAAGCGUUGUUCGGAAUUACUGGGCGUAAAGGGCGCGUAGGCGGCCUUCUAAGUCAGACGUGAAAUCCCUCGGCUUAACCGGGGAACUGCGUCUGAUACUGGAUGGCUUGAGUUCGGGAGAGGGAUGCGGAAUUCCAGGUGUAGCGGUGAAAUGCGUAGAUAUCUGGAGGAACACCGGUGGCGAAGGCGGCAUCCUGGACCGACACUGACGCUGAGGAGCGAAAGCCAGGGGAGCAAACGGG